AUUGAACGCUGGCGGCAUGCUUUACACAUGCAAGUCGAACGGUAACAGGGUGCUUGCACCGCUGACGAGUGGCGAACGGGUGAGUAAUGCGUCGGAACGUGCCGAGUAGUGGGGGAUAACGCAGCGAAAGUUGUGCUAAUACCGCAUACGUACUGAGGUAGAAAGUGGGGGACCUUCGGGCCUCACGCUAUUCGAGCGGCCGACGUCUGAUUAGCUAGUAGGUGAGGUAAAGGCUCACCUAGGCGACGAUCAGUAGCGGGUCUGAGAGGAUGAUCCGCCACACUGGGACUGAGACACGGCCCAGACUCCCACGGGAGGCAGCAGUGGGGAAUUUUGGACAAUGGGCGAAAGCCUGAUCCAGCCAUGCCGCGUGUCUGAAGAAGGCCUUCGGGUUGUAAAGGACUUUUGUCAGGGAGGAAAUCCCUAGCGCUAAUACCGCUGGGGGAUGACAGUACCUGAAGAAUAAGCACCGGCUAACUACGUGCCAGCAGCCGCCGUAAUAC
rnacentral:rRNA from 1 species